GGAAUAUUGGGCAAUGGGCGAAAGCCUGACCCAGCAACGCCGCGUGAAGGAUUGAAGGUCUUCGGAUUGUAAACUUCUUUGAUCGGGGAAGAAUAAAUGACCUACCCAAAGAACAAGCCACGGCUAACUACGUGCCAGCAGCCGCGGUAAUACGUAGGUGGCAAGCGUUAUCCGGAUUUACUGGGUGUAAAGGGCGUGUAGGCGGUUUCGCAAGUCAGAAGUGAAAUUCCCGGGCUUAACUCGGGCGCUGCUUCUGAAACUGCGGAACUUGAGUGCUGGAGGGGAUAGCGGAAUUCCUAGUGUAGCGGUAAAAUGCGCAGAUAUUAGGAGGAACACCGGUGGCGAAGGCGGCUAUCUGGACAGUAACUGACGCUGAGGCGCGAAAGCGUGGGGAGCGAACA
rnacentral:rRNA from 1 species